AAUAUCAUUGUUACAUCGUCAACGGUACCUGAAGUGGCCAGCCAUCCAACUGGAGAGAUGCCCCUUGCAGUGGAGUUGGCGAAGAAGCGCAAUGCAACUACAGUGGCAGUCAGCUGUGUGUCCCACCAUCCAGAUUUGGAAUCGAUGCCCCAUGCAUUAAGCUUUGGAUGACAUAUCACGUAUGAUACUUGGACAGGAGCAGUGUCAAGGAAACCGGAAGUGUCCCACCUUGCAACUCGGAAGUGAUGCCUCUUGCAACCUGUACGAAGCCCAGCGGCAUUUGCAAUGCCCGAAGGCCGCGUAUACUUGUCUUCCAUUAAGAACUUUUGGCCCUGUGUGACAACUUAGUGAUGACACAAUGGGUAACACCUCACUGAUGACACAAUCGCUUGAUUGCUAAACUGGAUCCGGCCUUUUCACGGGAAACACAAUUAAAAAUGAAAUAAUUAAUACAUUGACGCUCUAUUUUUGGGCAUUGUGUUGAUCGAUAAGACUUUUAGAUUUAUGUGACAAUCUUAUAAUGUUGUGACAUUAUAAUAGUUAUGUUACAUUCUUAUUCUGAAGUGACUUUCAUAUGUUCAUUUGACUUUCUCAUGGUAUGUGAAU